rnacentral:pre_miRNA from 2 species
AAAUUACCAAGGUAUUGGCGCGCCUCAAUUUGAAGACAUGGUUAACAUGAAAUUACUAACCAUGUCAUUUGAUUGAGCCGCGUCAAUAUCUCGCUCAUGAUC